rnacentral:rRNA from 1 species
AUUGAACGCUGGCGGCAGGCCUAACACAUGCAAGUCGAGCGGAUGAAGGGAGCUUGCUCCUGGAUUCAGCGGCGGACGGGUGAGUAAUGCCUAGGAAUCUGCCUGGUAGUGGGGGAUAACGUCCGGAAACGGGCGCUAAUACCGCAUACGUCCUGAGGGAGAAAGUGGGGGAUCUUCGGACCUCACGCUAUCAGAUGAGCCUAGGUCGGAUUAGCUAGUUGGUGGGGUAAAGGCCUACCAAGGCGACGAUCCGUAACUGGUCUGAGAGGAUGAUCAGUCACACUGGAACUGAGACACGGUCCAGACUCCUACGGGAGGCAGCAGUGGGGAAUAUUGGACAAUGGGCGAAAGCCUGAUCCAGCCAUGCCGCGUGUGAAGAAGGUCUUCGGAUUGUAAAGCACUUUAAGUUGGGAGGAAGGGCAGUAAGUUAAUACCUUGCUGUUUUGGCGUUACCAACAGAAUAAGCACCGGCUAACUUCGUG